rnacentral:rRNA from 1 species
GACGAACGCUGGCGGCGUGCUUAACACAUGCAAGUCGAACGAUGAAGCCGCUUCGGUGGUGGAUUAGUGGCGAACGGGUGAGUAACACGUGGGCAAUCUGCCCUGUACUUCGGGAUAAGCCUUGGAAACGGGGUCUAAUACCGGAUGGGACUGCCGGCCGCAUGGUCUGGUGGUGGAAAGCUCCGGCGGUACAGGAUGAGCUCGCGGCCUAUCAGCUUGUUGGUGGGGUGAUGGCCUACCAAGGCGACGACGGGUAGCCGGCCUGAGAGGGCGACCGGCCACACUGGGACUGAGACACGGCCCAGACUCCUACGGGAGGCAGCAGUGGGGAAUAUUGCACAAUGGGCGCAAGCCUGAUGCAGCGACGCCGCGUGAGGGAUGACGGCCUUCGGGUUGUAAACCUCUUUCAGCAGGGAAGAAGCCUUAAAAAGUGACGGUACCUGCAGAAGAAGCACCGGCUAACUACGUGCCAGCAGCCGCCGUAAAAC